rnacentral:rRNA from 1 species
AAUAUUGGACAAUGGGGGCAACGCUGAUCCAGCCAUGCCGCGUGUGUGAAGAAGGUCUUCGGCUUGUAAAGCACUUUAAGUUGGGAGGAAGGGCUUUAGGUUAAUACCCUGAAGUUUUGACGUUACCAAUAGAAUAAGCUCCGGCUAACUCUUUGCCAGCAGCCGCGGUAAUACAGACGGGGCACGCGUUAAUCGGAAUUACUGGGCGUAAAGCGCGCGUAGGUGGUUCAGUAAGAUGGGUGUGAAAUCCCCGGGCUUAACCUGGGAACUGCUUUCAUAACUGCUGAGCUAGAGUACGGUAGAGGGUAGUGGAAUUUCCUGUGUAGCGGUGAAAUGCGUAGAGAUAGGAAGGAACACCAGUGGCGAAGGCGACUACCUGGACUGAUACUGACACUGAGGUGCGAAAGCGUGGGGAGCAAA